rnacentral:misc_RNA from 1 species
UUACUGUACCGAGGCAUCGC